rnacentral:rRNA from 1 species
CAAGACUGGGAUAACCUCCGGAAACGGAUGCUAAUACCGGAUAUGCGGUUUCUCCUCCUGGAGAGAUCGGGAAAGACGGAGCAAUCUGUCGCUUGGGGAUGGGCCUGCGGCGCAUUAGCUAGUUGGUGAGGUAACGGCUCACCAAGGCGACGAUGCGUAGCCGACCUGAGAGGGUGAUCGGCCACACUGGGACUGAGACACGGCCCAGACUCCUACGGGAGGCAGCAGUAGGGAAUCUUCCGCAAUGGACGCAAGUCUGACGGAGCAACGCCGCGUGAGUGAGGAAGGCCUUCGGGUCGUAAAGCUCUGUUGCCAGGGAAGAACGGGUGGAAGAGUAACUGCUUCCGCCAUGACGGUACCUGAGAAGAAAGCCCCGGCUAACUACGUGCCAGCAGCCGCGGUAAUACGUAGGGGGCAAGCGUUGUCCGGAAUUAUUGGGCGUAAAGCGCGCGCAGGCGGCUUUGUAAGUCCGGUGUUUAAUCUUGGGGCUCAACCCCAAGUCGCACGGGAAACUGCAAGGCUUGAGUGCAGAAGAGGAAAGUGGAAUUCCACGUGUAGCGGUGAAAUGCGUAGAGAUGUGGAGGAACACCAGUGGCGAAGGCGACUUUCUGGGCUGUAAC